CUUUCUGCUUCUCUCUCUCUCUCUGUGUGUGAGGGACAAUGGCUGCUGAGAGAGGCUUCUUAGGAUAUGCUGUGUUGUGUCGGUGGGAAAAAGACAGAGGAAGGAUCCCUAAACAUUAACAGGGAGAAAUCUGUGCAAGAGCCUCUCUGUAAUGAGCAGAGAGAAUAUUGCUGAGAUGAUCCAUGGCGCUUAAAGUGGGUGCUAGAGAAGAUUGCAUCUUUUGGCUUCUAAGGCAUCACCUAUCAACCAUGAUAUUUGUAAGUUCAUGAAGAUACCAACAAAAGGUCUGCCCUGUGCAUUUUUCUGAUUUCAACCAUGUAUUAAAUAAACCACAAAAAGCCGGAUUCAACGGCACAUCGGCAAGUUCUGGAUGCACAAUUGAAAUGGAGUUUGGUGCUCUCGAGGUAACCAUGCUGCUGACAUCAAAUUGUUGUUA